GUUUGCCGCAGCCUUUCAUUGGCAGGCUCAGCCGCUUUCAUCAUUUCUCAGAAAAGUCGAUUUCAUUUUCACUUCCCUCCAGCAGCAGUCGUAGCAGCAGCAGCACGCUGGCUGUGUGUGGAAGCCUUCACCCCCCACAAUGGAUAACUGAAUAGGUUGGCGGAUCUUGGAGGCUGCAUGGCGGACGUAUGAAUAUUGCCCAGAUCUUUUAGGAGAAGUAAGAUGUUUGUUCUUGGCAGUACCACGCCUAGGCAGUCUGGGAGAGGAAAACACAUACCUUCUCAAGAAACAACUGGAAACCUUCAUGCAUAACAACAUCAAUCAUGCAAUUCGGCUUUCUAGCACAGGCACUAGUGGAUUGCGGAUUCAGGUUAUUUUAUGUCAAAAAGAGCAAGUUUUUUGUGACUGUGAGAAAUACUGAAAAUGUUUUGUGCUUUUUGCCACCAUUAGCCUGGUAUUCAAUGUGAUUAAUGAUUAUUAGAAACGUAUAAAUAGCA